rnacentral:rRNA from 1 species
UUAGUGGAAGCGUCUGGAAAGGCGCGCGAUACAGGGUGACAGCCCCGUACACAAAAGCGCAUGUGCUGUGAGCUCGAUGAGUAGGGCGGGACACGUGGUAUCCUGUCUGAAUAUGGGGGGACCAUCCUCCAAGGCUAAAUACUCCUGACUGACCGAUAGUGAACCAGUACCGUGAGGGAAAGGCGAAAAGAACCCCGGCGAGGGGAGUGAAAAAGAACCUGAAACCGUGUACGUACAAGCAGUGGGAGCCCCACCACUAAGCCAGUGGUGAACUCCACAUACGCAUCCUUUGCUGAGGAURCGGUUAACGGAGCGAAAGCGACGUUCAACCGCAAAAGAAGCAGAGGGGGCUUAGUGGUGGGGUGACUGCGUACCUUUUGUAUAAUGGGUCAGCGACUUAUAUUCUGUAGCAAGGUUAACCGWAUAGGGGAGCCGGAGGGAAACCGAGUCUUAAYYGGGCGUUAAGUUGCAGGGUAUAGACCCGAAACCCGGUGAUCUAGCCAUGGGCAGGUUGAAGGUUGGGUAACACUAACUGGAGGACCGAACCGACUAAUGUUGAAAAAUUAGCGGAUGACCUGUGGCUGGGGGUGAAAGGCCAAUCAAACCGGGAGAUAGCUGGUUCUCCCCGAAAGCUAUUUAGGUAGCGCCUCGUGAAUUCAUCUCCGGGGGUAG